GUGCUUCCUUCGGCAACACAUACACUAAAAGUUGAAACAGCAUAGAGAAGAUUAACAUGGCCCCUGCACAAGGAUGACACACAAAUUCAUAAGUCACUCAAUGUGUGU